rnacentral:sRNA from 1 species
UGAAAUUAUAAUCGGACGGCCAAAUCUAGCU